rnacentral:lncRNA from 1 species
CUAUUGACACCUUAACCAUGCCAUUAGUGUUUCUAACGAUUUCAUUCCCCGUGCUUAUUGCAUCGAGGAUGACAACGGGGUCCAUGUUUCUCAGCGAAGGAGGAGCGGGUGCGCUGUUAGUUGUGAUCCCUGAUGUUCCCCAGCCAGAUUCUUGUAGAAGCUCCGGUGGGACGUCCUCCCAACCAUCAUCCCAUCCGCCUGUUGCCAUUUUGAUUAUAUUCACCUAUACACAUUUUAAUCGAUUAUUAGAAAUAAUGCUUGAUAUCAAUUAAGUAUUUAUAUAUAUUUAUGUGUGUGACGGAAGGAAGAAAGGAACAAGAGAUGAGAUUAAUGCCGAGAUUUAGAAACUUCUUUAAUUGCAAAAGUGAUAGGGAGAUUAUUUUUGACUGUAUAUUGAAUUAUGUCGUCUUCUCCUAUGCGAACCCCUUUAUUAUUAUCUAUUAAUGUAUAGCGAUUUUUAAAAAUGUCAUAAACUGGCGCCUCCGUAGUCACUUGUUUGUAAUCUAUUGGUUUGCCAUGUGUUAGAAGAGUAGUUGUGAAUCUAUAUUUUUCUGCUUUUACAUCGAUAUCUAUGACUUGUGCGAUGAUGUUCAAUUGUGGUUG